GUCGACAUAUCUUAUUCCUUUGUUGCAGGACAAGAACUUGGAACUUGCUGAGCUGGGGAUGGCGGGAGUAAAAGAGUUGUAACCUUCCCUUCUGCUCCCCAAACAAUGUGAGAGAAGAAACCAUUAGACGCCACUCUCUCCUGUUAGCCCAACUGCCAGAGCGGAAAAAGUUGUGACGUCACUGGCUUACUCAGCAAGCUAACUGUGGGAGGUGGGAGUAGAAGAGCUGUAACCUCUCCCACUCGAGGAACUACCCUCCUGCUUGACAAAUUACAGGAGCAAAAAAGCCACGUAUCAGAGGAGACUUCAGGAGGUGAUGGACCAUGCCCAAGUUGCUCACAGGGCACUUAAUAAAUGAGGACAAGAGAGAGAAAGAAACAGAGGCAGAAUAAGAAAGCAUUUCAGAUGGGCUUUUAUGCCAUCCUAAUCAGGAUCCAAGUUGGUGCCUGUGUGGGUACUUGUGUGUCUACAUAGAAGUUGGCAAACUGUUUCCAAAGUAUAUACAGGAAUGUAAAGAGCCAAGAGUAACAAAGACAAUCUCAGAGGAGAAAGCUGGAGAACCUACAUUACCAGGCAAGAUCAACUAGCUACUGCAACAAAUGGACUCAAAAUAUGAAAUAGCACAUAAUGGAAAUGUAUUUCUUGUUUACAAGAGUAAACAGAUCAGAGAACAAUUCUCCUCCAAAUGGCCAACAGAUACUCUGCCAUCUUCAC
rnacentral:lncRNA from 1 species